CCAUUGAUAAGUUAGUGAGUGUUUGCGUUUAAAUAUGCCCGUUAAAAAUAAGUGCGAAAGCCUAUAUUAAAGGUGUUUGUAGUGCUCUAGCCUACAUUCGUUUAUGGCCUUCUUUUCUUCCAACGUGGACGGUGCCGAUAGAUGCUGGCUAUUGAGAAGCGAGAGAGACGGACGUAGUGACGCUGGAACCCAUGUUUGACAAAAAAGGGGAGUCCGCUUGUUUUGUUUUAACUUCAAAAAAUUCAUCGUUGAAUAAUGGGCAGAAGAUCACGAGUAUAAGUUAAGAAAGGUUGAUUGCGGCAGAGAUUAGAUAAAAUAAUGUAGCCGAUUUGUUUCGUUUUGUUAACGUUUUAUUUUAUUUAAUACAAUUCAAAUGUAGUUUAGUAAAAAGUGUUUUCAUUUCUACACCAAACAACAGCCAACCAGUUAAUAAUUCUAACAUUUUAUGGUCCUUCGUUGUCGGAUUGGCUGUGGUGUUAAAAAAAUAAGAAAUGAAAAUUAAAAAUAGCAGUGUCAGUGCAAGAAAUACGGCGGCGUCAGGGGAAUUCCUAUAUGGCUUUUCACUUGCGGAAGCGCCUGAUAUGGUGUAUAACGAUGAUCUUGACGGCGAUAUUUACAUUGAGCCACCAGAACCCAAUAUAGAGACAGAUGAGGACUGAGCUGACGAGGACGAUGGCGGGCUAGUUGACAAAUUGACAGCUCGACAGUUGCGACCCCGGCCGAAAUAAGAUUAUACAAUAACGAGAGAUUGGGUACCCAAUAUGAGGUUGAAUGUGAUGCAAAUAUAGCAGAUCAGGAAACAAAUACUGUGCCUACUCCGGUUCUUGUGGAGGAAUACACAACUUGGCUAAAAGAUAGGCGAAACCAGUCUAAAUCAUUUAUACCUCAGUGGGAAAAA